GACGAACGCUGGCGGCGUGCUUAACACAUGCAAGUCGAACGGAAAGGCCCUGCUUUUGUGGGGUGCUCGAGUGGCGAACGGGUGAGUAACACGUGAGUAACCUGCCCUUGACUUUGGGAUAACUUCAGGAAACUGGGGCUAAUACCGGAUAGGAGCUCCUGCUGCAUGGUGGGGGUUGGAAAGUUUCGGCGGUUGGGGAUGGACUCGCGGCUUAUCAGCUUGUUGGUGGGGUAGUGGCUUACCAAGGCUUUGACGGGUAGCCGGCCUGAGAGGGUGACCGGCCACAUUGGGACUGAGAUACGGCCCGGACUCCUACGGGAGGCAGCAGUGGGGAGUAUUGCACAAUGGGCGGAGGCCUGAUGCAGCAACGCCGCGUGCGGGAUGACGGCCUUCGGGUUGUAAACCGCUUUCGCCUGUGACGAAGCGUGAGAGACGGUAAUGGGUAAAGAAGCACCGGCUAACUACGUG
rnacentral:rRNA from 1 species